rnacentral:rRNA from 1 species
ACGCUCGACACCUACGGGGGCAGCAGUCGGGAAUAUUGCGCAAUGGAGGAAACUCUGACGCAGUGACGCCGCGUGCAGGAAGAAGGUUUUCGGAUUGUAAACUGCUUUAGACAGGGAAGAAAGAAAUGACAGUACCUGUAGAAUAAGCUCCGGCUAACUACGUGGCAGCAGCCGCGGUAAUCUGAGCGGGCUGGCAAGGC